GCAGUGGUGGUUUAGUGGUAGAAUUCCUGCCCUCCAUGCAAGAGACCCUGGUUUGAUUCCUGGCCAAUGCA
rnacentral:tRNA from 1 species